rnacentral:rRNA from 1 species
UUCACUCCAACCCCUGUGACAUACCUAUACGUUGCCUCGGCGGAUCAGCCCGCGCCCCGUAAAAAGGGACGGCCCGCCCGAGGACCCCUAAACUCUGUUUUUAGUGGAACUUCUGAGUAAAACAAACAAAUAAAUCAAAACUUUCAACAACGGAUCUCUUGGUUCUGGCAUCGAUGAAGAACGCAGCAAAAUGCGAUAAGUAAUGUGAAUUGCAGAAUUCAGUGAAUCAUCGAAUCUUUGAACGCACAUUGCGCCCGCCAGUAUUCUGGCGGGCAUGCCUGUUCGAGCGUCAUUUCAACCCUCAAGCUCAGCUUGGUGUUGGGACUCGCGGUAACCCGCGUUCCCCAAAUCGAUUGGCGGUCACGUCGAGCUUCCAUAGCGUAGUAAUCAUACACCUCGUUACUGGUAAUCGUCGCGGCCACGCCGUAAAACCCCAACUUCUGAAUGUUGACCUCGGAUCAGGUAGGAAUACCCGCUGAACUUAAGCAUAUCAAUAAGCGGAGGA